GAACGCUGGCGGCGUGCCUAAUACAUGCAAGUCGAACGGUCUUUCUAUGGAAGCUUGCUUCCACUGAGAAGAUAGUGGCGAACGGGUGAGUAACACGUGGGUAACCUGCCCAUAAGAGGGGGAUAACAUCCGGAAACGGGUGCUAAUACCGCAUAGUUUUCUUGAUCGCAUGAUCGGGAAAGGAAAGACGGCCUUUGUGCUGUCGCUUAUGGAUGGACCCGCGGCGUAUUAGUUAGUUGGUGAGGUAACGGCUCACCAAGACGAUGAUACGUAGCCGACCUGAGAGGGUGAUCGGCCACAUUGGGACUGAGACACGGCCCAAACUCCUACGGGAGGCAGCAGUAGGGAAUCUUCCGCAAUGGACGAAAGUCUGACGGAGCAACGCCGCGUGAGUGAAGAAAGGUUUUCGGAUCGUAAAACUCUGUUGUCAGAGAAGAACAAGUUGGAGAGUAACUGCUCCAGCCUUGACGGUAUCUGACCAGAAAGCCACGGCUAACUACGUGCCAGCCGCAGC
rnacentral:rRNA from 1 species